CAGGGGAGGAAGCUGCAGCAGCCAGAGGAGGAAUCAAGAAGUUCCUUGCCUCCCAGCAGAUCGGCUGCCUCUUUUCUCCCCUGGCUGGUUGAACACUGUUGCUGUAACUCUCUAGGAUUGAGUUAUUUGAUUCGGUUGAAAGUAGGAAGAGACGAAUGUGCUGGAAGUGUUGUGAGGAGGAGAUGGCAAGACCUGGAGGGGGAAGAAAUUGCAAGACCUUCAAUUAAGAGAGCAUCAUCAUGGAAGAACAUAUACUGUUUUAGAUAACUGAAACAUGAUCAAUAUCUGGAAUCAAUUUUAUGUAUGAUCUUCCGUUUCCAUUCUAAUUUUUCUGUUGAGUGUUAUGGAGAGGUAUAUCUUGUUUGAUUUUACUGUUUCUAUGCUGUAACAUGCCUAAGUAAUAUUGAAUAGAAAACCUCUUU